GACGAACGCUGGCGGCGUGCUUAACACAUGCAAGUCGAACGGAAAGGCCUGCUUUCCCUUGUGGAUUGCGGGUACUCGAGUGGCGAACGGGUGAGUAACACGUGAGUGAUCUGCCCCCAACUUGGGUAUAAGCCUGGGAAACUGGGUCUAAUUCCCGAUAGGACUGCAGGGUGGUGCCUGUGGUGGAAAACGAUUUUCUAGUGGUUGGGGAUGAGCUCGCGGCCUAUCAGCUUGUUGGUGGGGUAAUGGCCUACCAAGGCGGCGACGGGUAGCCGGCCUGAGAGGGUGGACGGCCACAUUGGGACUGAGAUACGGCCCAGACUCCUACGGGAGGCAGCAGUGGCGAAUAUUGCACAAUGGGCGGAAGCCUGAUGCAGCGACGCCGCGUGGGGGAUGACGGCCUUCGGGUUGUAAACUCCUUUCGACCGCGAGGAAGCCACCUGGUUGGAAGGGUGGUGACGGUAGUGGUAGAAGAAGCACCGGCUAACUACGUG
rnacentral:rRNA from 1 species